CUCGUAGGCGGCUUAACAAGUCGGUCGUGAAAUAUCGAGGCUCAACCUCGGGGAGUCGGUCGAAACUGUUAUAGCUAGAGUACGGUAGAGGAGAGUGGAAUUCCCGGUGUAGCGGUGGAAUGCGCAGAUAUCGGGAGGAACACCAGUAGCGAAGGCGGCUCUCUGGGCCGUUACUGACGCUGAGGAGCGAAAGCGUGGGGAGCAAACAGGAUUAGAUACCCUGGUAGUCC
rnacentral:rRNA from 1 species